GAGAGAGGUACGGGACCCAAUCAUCAGUGUGGUCAUUGACAAUACGGUGGUCACUCCUAGGGAAGAAGAAGUGAGCAGCGUGCCCAUGUCAGUGGUCAGCACACCUGCCAUCACUGCCUGGCAAACUGUCUCCAUUCAAGAGCUGGCAAAGUGGGGACAGGACUCAGAAAUGGAGCAGAGCUCAUUCUGAAAAGUCUGUGGCCUUCUGGAAAAGAGUUGAUUUGCCCAUUUAUACAGAUAAACUGAAGAAAUGCUCAGAGAGGGGAGUUUGCAGGAAAGGCAUGUUCUUAUCCAGAAGACCCAGCACCCCUGCACCAUUCAGGUCUCCUCAUUUCCAAGAGUAACCUCUUGUCUCCAGACACCUGAGGAAUAAAAGCUAUAGUGGUAUCUUCUGUUAAGAGGUGACUUUUCACCUGACCCUCGGUUACUUAAGGAUGAGGGCUAGUUGCCAGAGGAGCCAACUAUGUGAUUAAAGGUCUGGAAAUUUCUGGACCUCCAGGAGGGAAAAGAAGCUGGAAGUUGAAUCAGUCACCAGUAGCUAAAGAUUUAAUCAGUCAUAUUUAAGUAAUGCGGCCUCCAUAGGGACAGGGUUCGGAAAGCUGGGCUGGUUAACAAGUGGAGACUUGGACGAGUGAAUUGCUCAGAGAUGACAGGAAGUUUCCCAUCCUUUCCUCACACCUUGCUGUAUACAUCUCUUCCAUCUGGCUGUCACUGAGUUAUAU